rnacentral:rRNA from 1 species
UACGUAGGGGGCGAGCGUUGUCCGGAUUUAUUGGGCGUAAAGAGCUCGUAGGCGGUUUGGUAAGUCGGGUGUGAAAUCUCCACGCUCAACGUGGAGGGGCCACUCGAUACUGCCAUGACUCGAGUCCGGUAGAGGAGUGUGGAAUUCCCGGUGUAGCGGUGAAAUGCGCAGAUAUUGGGAAGAACACCGAUGGCGAAGGCAGCCAUCUGGACCGACACUGACGCUGAGGCGCGAAAGCGUGGGGAGCGAACGAGG